GAUGAACGCUGGCGGCGUGCCUAAUACAUGCAAGUCGAGCGAACGGACGAGAAGCUUGCUCCCCUGAUGUUAGCGGCGGACGGGUGAGUAACACGUGGACAACCUACCUAUAAGACUGGGAUAACUUCGGGAAACCGUAGCUAAUACCGGAUAAUAUUUUGAAUCGCAUGGUUCAAAAGUGAAAGACGGUCUUGCUGUCACUAAUAGAUGGAUCCGCCCUGCAUUAGUUAGUUGGCGAGGUAACUGCUUACCAACGCAACGAUGCAUACCCGACCUGAGAGGGUGGUCGGACACACUGGAACUGAGGAUCAGUCCAGACACCUACGGGAGGCCACAGUAGAGAAUCUUACGCGAUGCGGGAAAGCGUAACGGUGCAACGCCGCGUGAGUGAUGAAGGUCUUCGGAUCGUAAAGCUCUGUUAUUAGGAAAGAACAAAUGUGUAAGUAACUGUGAACAUCUUGACGGUACCUAGUCAGAAAGCCACGGCUAACUACGUG
rnacentral:rRNA from 1 species